GACGAACGCUGGCGGCAAGCUUAACACAUGCAAGUCGAGCGCCCCGCAAGGGGAGCGGCAGACGGGUGAGUAACGCGUGGGAACGUGCCUUUCGGUUCGGAACAACUGAGGGAAACUUCAGCUAAAACCGGAUACGCCCUUCGGGGGAAAGUUUACGCCGAAAGAUCGGCCCGCGUUAGAUUAGCUAGUUGGUGGGGUAAUGGCCUACCAAGGCGACGAUCUAUAGCUGUUCUGAGAGGAAGAUCAGCCACACUGGGACUGAGACACGGCCCAGACUCCUACGGGAGGCAGCAGUGGGGAAUAUUGGACAAUGGGCGCAAGCCUGAUCCAGCUAUGCCGCGUGGAUGAAGAAGGCCUUCGGGUUGUAAAGUCCUUUCGUUGGUGACGAUAAUGACGGUAACCAAAGAAGAAGCCCCGGCUAAUUUCGUGCCAGCCGCCGCCGUAACAC
rnacentral:rRNA from 1 species